rnacentral:snRNA from 1 species
ACCCGAGGGUGAUCUGGCUGCAACAUCUGUCACCCAUUGAUUUCCAGGGUUGAUUCGGCUGAUCUUGUUGGCUAGGCAAGUAUCCCCUUCCUCUCUCUCCGCUCCAUUUGCGUCUCUCCCCAAGCUGCCCGCUCGGUCGAAGAGGAUGGCCUUCCCGGAAUAGAGACGGACCGGUCUUCAGUCGAGGGUAUAUGAGUAGCUGUGCUCCCCUGCUAGAACCACCUCCAAACAAGCUUAUUUAUUUAUUCCAGUAAAUUUCUAUAACUGGUAUUUUCACAUUGGUACACUUGAAAGAUAAUUUUAUCUUUUUGAAAAUAGGAGAAUAGCAUUGCUUCCAUUUCGAUUUUU